CACGUAGGGUGCGAGCGUUAAUCGGAAUUACUGGGCGUAAAGGGUGCGUAGGCGGCGCGGUAAGUCGGGUGUGAAAUCUCGGAGCUUAACUCCGAAACUGCAUUCGAUACUGCCGUGCUUGAGGACUGGAGAGGAGACUGGAAUUUACGGGGUAGCGGUGAAAUGCGUAGAUAUCGUAAGGAAGACCAGUGGCGAAGGCGGGUCUCUGGACAGUUCCUGACGCUGAGGCACGAAGGUCAGGGGAGCAAACGGG
rnacentral:rRNA from 1 species